rnacentral:rRNA from 1 species
UACGGGGGGGGCAAGCGUUGUUCGGAAUUACUGGGCGUAAAGGGCGCGUAGACGGCUUUUCAAGUCGGGCGUGAAAUCUCCGGGCUUAACCCGGAAGGGUCGUUCGAUACUGUUGAGCUAGAGUGUGGAAGAGGCAACUAGAAUUCCGUGUGUAGCGGUGAAAUGCGUAGAUAUACGGAGGAAUACCUGAGGCGAAGGCGGGUUGCUGGGCCAACACUGACGCUGAAGUGCGAAAGCCAGGGGAGCAAACGGG